rnacentral:rRNA from 1 species
GGAGGCUUGUAUGAAUGGUUGGACAAAAAAUAAGCUGUCUCUGUUUUAUUUCUUGAAUUUAACUUUUAAGUGAAAAGGCUUARAUGUUCUAGGGGGACGAUAAGACCCUAUAAAGCUUUACAGUGUGCUAAUUAAAUUAUAAAUUGUUAGUAUAAACUUGGUUUGGUUAGUAGCUGUUUCGUUGGGGCGACGAAAAUAUAAUUGAUAGUAACUGUUUUUCUUUUAUAAUAACAAUAAAUUUUUGGUAGAAAUUGAUCCUUUAUUAAAGAUUAAAAGAUUAAGUUACUUUAGGGAUAACAGCGUAAU